ensembl:lncRNA
AUACCUGUGGGGCAGCAGCCGUUGGGGUGGAGGCGGUUGUAGGGCAGGAAGUGGGGAACGGGACAGGAAGCGCCACCCUGAGCUCAGCCCUAUAACCAAAAGUAGGGGAGGGGAGAAAAUGGGGGACGCCCCAUAGAGGCUAUCGGAUCUAUGGGGUCUCUAUGGGGUCUGUGAGGCCUACGGAGUCUCUGUGGGGCAGAAUGGGGCUCUAUGGGGUCUCUAUGGGGCAGAAUGGAGCUCUUUGGGUCACUAUGGGGCAGAAUGGGGCUCUAUGGGGUCUCUAUGGUCUCUAUGGGGCAGAAUGGGGCUCUAUGGGGUCACCACGGGGCAGAAUGGAGCUCUAUGGGGUCUCUGUGGGGCAGAAUGGGGCUCUAUGGGGUCACUAUGGGGCAGAAUGGGGCUCUAUGGGGUCUCUGUGGGGCAGAGUGGGGCUCUGUGGGGUCUCUAUGGGGCAGAAUGGGGCUCUAUGGGGUCUCUGUGGGGCAGAAUGGGUCUCUAUGGGGUCUCUAUGGGGUCUGUGAGGCCUAUGGGGUCUCUAUGGGGUCUCUAUGAGGCAGAAUGGGGCUCUAUGGGGUCUCUAUGUGGCAGAAUGCCGCUCUAUGGGGUCUCUGUGGGGCAGAGUGGGGCUCUGUGGGGUCUCUGUGGGGCAGAAUGAGGCCUCUGGGGUCUCUGUGGGGCAGAAUGGGACUCUAUGGGGUCUCUAUGGGGUCUGUGAGGCCUAUGGGGUCUCUAUGGGGUCUCUAUGAGGCAGAAUGGGGCUCUAUGGGGUCUCUAUGUGGCAGAAUGCGGCUCUAUGGGGUCUCUGUGAGGCAGAGUGGGGCUCUGUGGGGUCUCUGUGGGGCAGAAUGAGGCCUAUGGGGUCUCUAUGGGGUGGGAUGGGGCAGAAUGGGGCUCUGUGGGGUCUCUGUGGGGCAGAAUGGAGCUCUAUGGGGUGUCUAUGGGGCAGAAUUGGACUCUAUGGGGCCUCUAUGGGGCAGAAUGGAGCUCUAUGGGGUCUCUAUGGGGCAGAGUGGGGCUCUAUGGGGUCUCUAUGGGGCAGAGUGGGGCUCUAUGGGGUCUGUUGGGACUCUAUGGGGUCUGUUGUGACUCUGUGGGGUCUAUGGGGCUCUAUGGGGUCUGUUGGGACUCUAUGGGUUCUAUGGGGCUCUAUGGGGUCUAUGGGGCUCUAUGGGCUCUAUGGGGCUCUAUGGGGCUCUAUGGGCUCUAUGGGGCUCUAUGGGGUCUGUUGGGACUCUAUGGGCUCUAUGGGGCUCUAUGGGGUCUAUGGGCUCUAUGGGGCUCUAUGGUGUCUGUUGGGUUCUAUGGGGUCUGUUGGGAUCUAUGGGGCUCUGUGGAUCUCUAUGGGGUCUGUUGGGCUCUAUGGGGCUCUAUGGGCUCUAUGGGGCUCUAUGGGGCUCUGUGGAUCUCUAUGGGGUCUGUUGGGAUCUAUGGGGCUCUAUGGGCUCUAUGGGGCUCUGUGGAUCUCUAUGGGGUAUAUGGGGCUCUAUGGGGCUCUAUGGAUCUCUAUGGAUCUCUAUGGGGUCUAUGGGGUCUAUGGGGUCUAUGGGGCUCUAUGGAUCUCUAUGGGGUCUAUGGAUCUCUAUCGGGUCUAUGGGGCUCUAUGGGGCUCUAUGCAUCUCUAUGGAUCUCUAUGGGGUCUAUGGGGCUCUAUGGAUAUCUAUGGGCUCUAUGGGGUCUAUGGAUCUCUAUGGAACUCUAUGGGGUCUACGGAUCUUUAUGGAUCUCUAUGGGGUCUAUGGGGCUCUAUGGGGCUCUAUGGAUCUCCAUGGGCUCUAUGGGGCUCUAUGGUGUCUGUUGAGGUCUAUGGGGCUCUAUGGGGUCUGUUGCGACUCUAUCGGGUCUAUGGGGCUCUAUGGGGUCUGUUGCGACUCUAUGGGGUCUAUGGGGCUCAAUGGGGCUCUGUGGGGCUCUAUGGGGCUCUAUGGGGUUUGUUGCGACUCUAUGGGGCUCUAUGGGGCUCAGUGGGGCUCUGUGGGGCUCUAUAGUGGUCCUCCACCUCAAUGGAGCUCAAUGGAGCCCAGCGGAGCUCAGUGGGUCACACACACACACACAUCCAGCGCAGCACUUUGGGGUCCUUUAUUUUGGCAGACCGUCCCCCAUACAGACCACCCCCCCC